UACAGAGGAGCCAAGCGUUGUCCGGAUUGACUGGGCGUAAAGCGCACGCAGGCGGUUGCGCGCGUGGGGUGUGAAAUCUGGCCGCUUAACGGCCAGGCGCCAUCCCAUACGGCGCGACUGGAGCGAUGCAGAGGUCGGUGGAAUUGCCGGUGUAGUGGUGAAAUGCGUAGAGAUCGGCAGGAACACCGAUGGCGAAGGCAGGUCUCUGGGCAUUAACUGACGCUGAGGAGCGAAAGCAUGGGGAGCGAACAGG
rnacentral:rRNA from 1 species